rnacentral:rRNA from 1 species
ACGGGUGAGGAAUACAUCGGAAUUUGCCCUGUCGUGGGGGAUAACGUAGGGAAACUUACGCUAAUACCGCAUACGACCUAACGGUGAAAGCGGGGGAUCGCAAGACCUCGCGCGGCUGGAGAAGCCGAUGUCAGAUUAGCUAGUUGGCGGGGUAAUGGCCCACCAAGGCGACGAUCUGUAGCUGGUCUGAGAGGAUGAUCAGCCACACUGGGACUGAGACACGGCCCAGACUCCUACGGGAGGCAGCAGUGGGGAAUAUUGGACAAUGGGCGCAAGCCUGAUCCAGCAAUGCCGCGUGUGUGAAGAAGGCCUUCGGGUUGUAAAGCACUUUUAUCAGGAGCGAAAUCUGCAGGGCUAAUACCCAUGCAGUCUGACGGUACCUGAGGAAUAAGCACCGGCUAACUUCGUGCCAGCAGCCGCGGUAAUACGAAGGGUGCAAGCGUUACUCGGAAUUACUGGGCGUAAAGCGUGAGUAGGUGGUUUCUUAAGUCUGCUGUGAAAGCCCCGGGCUCAACCUGGGAAUUGCAGUGGAUACUGGGGAGCUAGAGUGCGGUAGAGGGUAGUGGAAUUCCCGGUGUA